CUGUNUGACUUGAGUGCAGAAGGGGAGAGUGGAAUUCCAUGUGUAGCGGNGAAAUGCGAAGAUAUAUGGAGGANCACCAGUGGCGAAAGCGGCUCUCUGGUCUGUCACUGACGCUGAGGCUCGAAAGCGUGGGUAGCGAACAGGAUUAGAUACCCUGGUAGUCCACGCCGUAAACGAUGAGUGCUAGGUGUUAGGCCCUUUCCGGGGCUUAGUGCCGGAGCUAACGCAAUAAGCACUCCGCCUGGGGAGUACGACCGCAAGGUUGAAACUCAAAGGAAUUGACGGGGGCCCGCACAAGCGGUGGAGCAUGUGGUUUAAUUCGAAGCAACGCGAAGAACCUUACCAGGUCUUGACAUCCCGAUGCUAUUCUUAGAGAUAGGAAGUUACUUCGGUACAUCGGAGACAGGUGGUGCAUGGUUGUCGUCAGCUCGUGUCGUGAGAUGUUGGGUUNNNNNNNNNNNNCGAGCGCAACCCUUAUUGUUAGUUGCCAUCAUUAAGUUGGGCACUCUAGCGAGACUGCCGGUAAUAAACCGGAGGAAGGUGGGGAUGACGUCAAAUCAUCAUGCCCCUUAUGACCUGGGCUACACACGUGCUACAAUGGUCGGUACAACGAGUUGCGAGCCGGUGACGGCAAGCUAAUCUCUGAAAGCCGAUCUCAGUUCGGAUUGGAGGCUGCAACUCGCCUCCAUGAAGUCGGAAUCGCUAGUAAUCGCGGAUCAGCACGCCGCGGUGAAUACGUUCCCGGGCCUUNU
rnacentral:rRNA from 1 species